GACGUAGGGCGCGAGCGUUGUCCGGAUUUAUUGGGCGUAAAGAGCUCGUAGGCGGCUUGUUGCGUCGACCGUGAAAACCCGCGGCUUAACUGUGGGCUUGCGGUCGAUACGGGCAGGCUAGAGUUCGGUAGGGGAGACUGGAAUUCCUGGUGUAGCGGUGAAAUGCGCAGAUAUCAGGAGGAACACCGGUGGCGAAGGCGGGGUCUCUGGGGCCGAUACUGACGCUGAGGAGCGAAAGCGUGGGGAGCGAACAGGA
rnacentral:rRNA from 1 species